GGAGCGACAGUGCGCACGGCUGACCAGAAGGAUGGAAUAGCGUUACCGUUUCGAAGAUAAACAAGCUUUCUCCGGGAGCCCCUGUGAAUAUAACGAGGCCGGCGAAGGAGUCCAAGCUGUUUGAUGACUGAAAUACACGAUGGAGUAGUGCAGUUGUUGAACUUCCUCAGCUGGUCAACGGAAUAGUUCAACAUCGUGCCGAUCCCAGGAAAACUCAUCCACCGUUCACCACCGGCCGCAGACGCGAUGGUAUUCUGAUGGAAACCUGUUUACCCGCCGAGGUUAAGGAUUAAAGUCGAGACUGCCGGGACAACGAUGCUGCUCCUGUCAGAUGUGACGGGUCUGGAGUAAUUGCAACGACAAGAAAUCACUACAGACUUUAUUGAAGACUAGAGCGGAUAACAACUCUAUUAUUAUUUAAUUGUUUAUUUAUCUAUUUAUUACCAGUUAUGACUUUUAGAUCAUUUAAUUCUGUGUUUGUAUGAUUUGUGUAAAUCGUGUAUUUACUUAAAGUAUCCUCCAGGCCACCCAAGAAGGAUGGGCCCUGCUGAGUCUGGUUCCUCUCAAGGUUUCUUCCUGUAAUUUUCAGGGAGUUUUUCCUUGCCACAGUCGCCCUCGGCUUGCUCAACAGGGGUUUUUGUAUCUGUUGGUCCUGGAUUUUGUAAAGUUGCUUUGAGACAAUGUCUAUUGUAAAAAGCGCUACAUGAAUAAAGUUGACUUGACUUGACUUGACACCGAGCAAUGCCAUUUUAGCGGCAGUCAAGCUCGAAGAAGUGUAUUGAGCACGUUUCUAUAGUA